rnacentral:tRNA from 1 species
GACCCGUUGGUCUAAUUAAAGUGUCUGAGUUGCAGUUAGGUGAUGUAGAUUAUAGUUUUACAGGUCUUC